AACGAACGCUGGCGGCAUGCCUAACACAUGCAAGUCGAACGAGACCUCCGGGUCUAGUGGCGCACGGGUGCGUAACGCGUGGGAACCUGCCCUUAGGUUCGGAAUAACUCCCCGAAAGGGGUGCUAAUACCGGAUAAUGUCUUCGGACCAAAGAUUUAUCGCCUUUGGAUGGGCCCGCGUUGGAUUAGCUAGUUGGUAGGGUAAAAGCCUACCAAGGCGACGAUCCAUAGCUGGUCUGAGAGGAGGAUCAGCCACACUGGGACUGAGACACGGCCCAGAAUCCUACGGGAGGGAGCGGUGGGGAAUAUUAGACAAGGGGCGAAAGCCUGAUCCAGCAAUGCCGCGUGAGUGAUGAAGGCCUUAGGGUUGUAAAGCUCUUUUACCCGGGAUGAUAAUGACAGUAACGGGAGAAUAAGCUCCGGCUAACUCCGUG
rnacentral:rRNA from 1 species